rnacentral:rRNA from 1 species
GAUGAACGCUGGCGGCGUGCCUAAUACAUGCAAGUCGAGCGAACAGAUGAGGAGCUUGCUCCUCUGACGUUAGCGGCGGACGGGUGAGUAACACGUGGCUAACCUACAUAUAAGACUGGGAUAACUUCGGGAAACCGGAGCUAAUACCGGAUAAUAUAUUGAACCGCAUGGUUCAAUAGUGAAAGACGGUUUUGCUGUCACUUAUAGAUGGAUCCGCGCCGCAUUAGCUAGUUGGUAAGGUAACGGCUUACCAAGGCAACGAUGCGUAGCCGACCUGAGAGGGUGAUCGGCCACACUGGAACUGAGACACGGUCCAGACUCCUACGGGAGGCAGCAGUAGGGAAUCUUCCGCAAUGGGCGAAAGCCUGACGGAGCAACGCCGCGUGAGUGAUGAAGGUCUUCGGAUCGUAAAACUCUGUUAUUAGGGAAGAACAAAUGUGUAAGUAACUAUGCACGUCUUGACGGUACCUAAUCAGAAAGCCACGGCUAACUACGUG